rnacentral:rRNA from 1 species
UACGAAGGGGGCUAGCGUUGUUCGGAAUUACUGGGCGUAAAGCGCACGUAGGCGGAUAUUUAAGUCAGGGGUGAAAUCCCAGAGCUCAACUCUGGAACUGCCUUUGAUACUGGUAGUCUCGAGUCCGGAAGAGGUGAGUGGAAUUCCGAGUGUAGAGGUGAAAUUCGUAGAUAUUCGGAGGAACACCAGUGGCGAAGGCGGCUCACUGGUCCGGUACUGACGCUGAGGUGCGAAAGCGUGGGGAGCAAACAGG